UACGUAGGUGGCAAGCGUUGUCUGGAAUUAUUGGGCGUAAAGCGCGCGCAGGCGGUCCUUUAAGUCUGAUGUGAAAGCCCACGGCUCAACCGUGGAGGGUCAUUGGAAACUGGGGGACUUGAGUGCAGAAGAGGAAAGUGGAAUUCCACGUGUAGCGGUGAAAUGCGUAGAGAUGUGGAGGAACACCAGUGGCGAAGGCGACUUUCUGGUCUGUAACUGACGCUGAGGCGCGAAAGCGUGGGGAGCAAACAGG
rnacentral:rRNA from 1 species